UGUGUUCCCGACGCGCACCUGUUUGCCAUCACGGACACUAUUUAGGCCUGUCUUUCUGUUCAUUCGUCCUGGCUUCCUUGUUUGCGCUCCCCGUCAUCCUUCCUCGUCGUCAAGCUGUGUGUCUUGUCACAUUGGACCUCCCUGUGGAUUCCCCCUUGCCUUCCUGGAUUUCGACCUCACGCCUGCCCACUUACUACGACGCCGCGCUCCUGUCCUCGACCACCUGCCUGUCCUCCAACACUCGAGCCUGCCUUGCCCUUAUUUGGACUUCCGCCUGGAUCAACACGCACUCUCAACAUCCUCUGGCAACCAUACUCAGAUAAGUUCCACAUUUAGUCACACUUCAUCUCUUUGGUUUAAUUACACAUCUCAUUCACACACCAAGCUGUCAAUAAAACACGCUGACAGCUAAACGA